GUCAAGUAUUACAUGCCAGAUUAAGGAUGAAUAGUAGUUCUCUAAAUGAACAUUUGUUCAAGCGAAAUCUAGUAGAUUCUUCAAACUGCUCGUGUGGUUUGAUCGAGCCUACAGCUCAUUUCUUAUUGCAUUGUAAAAAAUAUGACGAAUUGCGUAAUGACAUUAUUUUCUCAAUUAAUUAUCCAGUCACACUAAACACGAAUUUACUUUUAUUUGGAUCACAAGCUCUAAAUUUAGACCAAAAUAAAGAUAUUUUUGGAAAAGUACAAAAAUUCCUACUAAAGUGCAAGAGAUUUACAAGUUAAUUUGUUAUUCACUAUUCUCACUAAGUUGCAUUUCAUCUAAACAUGUGUGUAGUAUUUCGGUGUAGUUUUCUUUUUUCUUUUUUUUACUUUUUUUUCUUCUUUUGUUGUAUUUAUUUUCAUUAUUUUAAAAUGAUUUUUUUUCUCCUUUCUUUUUUGUUAUAUAGUUACUUAGUUUAUACUUGUUCCAUAUCAUAGUAACAGUGCAUGCUAUAUUUAUGUAAUAGUUAACUUGAGUUGGUAUUUCAAGGAAACGGAUUAAUAUAAGCUAUAUUGCUUGUUUCCGAAUCCUAUUAUUAUUGUGUAUUUUGUAUGAUGAUAUAUUU
rnacentral:lncRNA from 1 species